rnacentral:rRNA from 1 species
AGAGUUUGAUCAUGGCUCAGGACGAACGCUGGCGGCGCGCUUAACACAUGCAAGUCGAGCGAGAACCAGGGCUUCGGCCCUGGGGACAGCGGCGAACGGGUGAGUAACACGUGGGUUAUCUACCCUCGGCACCGGAAUAGCCCGGGGAAACCCGGAUUAAUGCCGGAUGGCCCGCCUGCCCUUCGGGGUGGUCGGAAAAGGUAGCUUCGGCCUCCGGCCGAGGAUGAGCCCGCGGCGGAUUAGCUAGUCGGUGGGGUAACGGCCCACCGAGGCGACGAUCCGUAGCUGGUCUGAGAGGACGAUCAGCCACACUGGGACUGAGACACGGCCCAGACUCCUACGGGAGGCAGCAGUGGGGAAUCUUGCGCAAUGGGCGAAAGCCUGACGCAGCGACGCCGCGUGAGGGAAGAAGGCUUUCGGGUUGUAAACCUUUUUCAGGAGGGACGAAGCCACUCGGGUUAAUAGCCCAGAGGGUGACGGUACCUCCAGAAGAAGCCCCGGCUAACUACGUGCCAGCCGCCGCGGUAAUAC